rnacentral:rRNA from 1 species
CAGCAGCCGCGGUAAUACGAAGGGUGCAAGCGUUACUCGGAAUUACUGGGCGUAAAGUGUGCGCAGGCGGUUUUGUAAGACAGGCGUGAAAUCCCCGGGCUUAACCUGGGAACUGCGUUUGUGACUGCAAGGCUAGAGUACGGCAGAGGGGGGUGGAAUUCCACGUGUAGCAGUGAAAUGCGUAGAGAUGUGGAGGAACACCAAUGGCGAAGGCAGCCCCCUGGGUCGAUACUGACGCUCAUGCACGAAAGCGUGGGUAGCAAACAGGAUUAGAUACCCUGGUAGUCCACGCCCUAAACGAUGUCAACUAGGUGUUGGGAGGGUAAAACCUUUUAGUACCGUAGCUAACGCGAGAAGUUGACCGCCUGGGGAGUACGGCCGCAAGGUUAAAACUCAAAGGAAUUGACGG